UUAUUUUAAAGAUAAAAUGAUUUAUAUUUGAUUUAUUAAUUUAUGUUUAUCUCUUUGUUCUUUCAGGGGACACUGGAGCUAAAGGUUUGGAUUUCUCACUCGCGAUUCUGUUGAUCUGCUUUAUUUCUUGAUGUUUGUUUUCUCAUUAUAAUCAAAUGUUUACUUGUCACAGGUGACGCUGGGUUCCCUGGACUUCCAGGUGAGGAAUGAUGAUUGUCAUAACUCAUGAGUCAUUAACAGUGUUUUACAUCUACUCAGGACUAUUAUGUGGCGUCAUGAUGUAAUUUUACUGUGACCUUUGACCUCAGGUGCUCCUGGUGCGAUGGGACCUUCAGGCCAUGAAGGUCCUAAAGGACAGAAAGGAAGCCAAGGUGAUCAUGGAGUGGACGGACAGCCUGGUAUCAGAGGUCGUGAAGGCCCAGCUGGCCCCAGAGGUGAGCCGGGACCUUCAGGCGUUGGACCAAAGGGUGACAGAGGUACGUAUCACAUCCCCGGCAGAACAUUUGUGUUUAUUAGUGAUAUUAAUAACUUCUAGUACUUCUAGUUCUGUCGCUGAAGGAUCUCGUGUUUGGUUUAUGCAGGUUCUACUGGUGAUCCGGGGGUUCCUGGGCCUGUGGGACCUGUCGGACUGAAAGGUUCACCUGGAAAUCCUGGACUUCCUGGAGCACCAGGUCAGUUAAUUUCUGCUUGAUUUCACUCAUGUGGAGCGUUAUAGCGGUUCCAGAAACACCUGCUAUUAUCUUGAAUUCACCAUCAGCUGCUUAUAAAAGAGAUUAAGUCAGAGAUAAGAGUGUUUUUUUAUUUUACAUGAUGUGUUUUGUUAUAGGUCAACCAGGUCCUCAAGGUUUCCGUGGCGAGGCAGGGUUACCUGGAGCUAAAGGUAGAUUAUGUGGUCAUUAUUAGGCUGUAAAGUGAAACGCAUCGUUGAUUUGCUUUAUUUUGUGCACCAUAAAGUUUCUCACAGUCGUUCUUCUCACUCUGCAGGUGACAGAGGGCUGGCUGGAUUCCAAGGAGCUAAAGGUUUGUUGUAACUGAAUCAGGUUUUUCUCUGACUUGUGAGGUCGGUGAAUGUUUUAACUGUAGUGUAAUUCAUGUUUAUUCUAGGUGAUCCUGGUCAUGAUGGUGUCAGAGGUAUUAAAGGUCAGUACAGCUCUGUGCAUUUAACCAAAGUAUCUGAAGCUGUCAAACUGGCAUGUUAUAUACUGAGUGCUGUUUUCUAAUCCAGUCAUCUUGUUCCUCAGGUGAAGCCGGAGCACCAGGUCUGCCAGGGCUCGCUGGAGAGAAAGGAUCCAAAGGGUCGAUCGGUGAGUCUGAGUCUCGUCUUCUAAACUCUAAAAGUUCAAUAUUGAUAUGAAGCUACAGCCAGCAGCUGAUUAGCUUAACACAGAGACUGAAAGCUGGGGGGAAGAGUUAGCCUGGUUUUGGCGAAAUGUAGCUCGAAUACACGUUAAAAAUGUUGUAGAAUCAUUUUAAUCAUGUAAUUCCUUUUAAGUCUGUACUUGACUUUUACUUAUUUGAGUUUUCUUUCAGAAAUGUAUUGUAAAUGUUUUGUAAAAAUUAACACAGAAAAGUCAAACUGAUUUGAAGAACAAGC
rnacentral:lncRNA from 1 species